GGGAAGAUACUCAAGCGGCCAACGAGGGCAGACUGUAAAUCUGCUGGUUUUACCUUCGCAGGUUCGAAUCCUGCUCUUCCCACCA
rnacentral:tRNA from 3 species